rnacentral:rRNA from 1 species
CCUUCAUGAAGCUGGAAUUGCUAGUAAUGGCAGGUCAGCAUACUGCCGUGAAUACGUUCCCGGGCCCUUGUACACACCGCCCGUCACACCAUGAGAGUUGGGAAUACCCGAAGCCUGUGAGCUAACUUUUAGAGGCAGCAGUCGAAGGUAGAAUCAAUGAUUGGGGUGAAGUCGUAACAAGGUAAC